UCAGGCACUCGCAACAGGUGAACGCAGAGGAAAAGAGACAGAGGACACCUUUCGAGAACUUCGAAAACUGUUUUGUCAACAAAGGAUCGUUCCAAGUUUGCAGAUACUGCGAAUUCACGUCUGCCGUAAACAUGAUUGGAUGGUUUAUCGCAAAGCGUCGCAUUAGACUGGUCUCGCCAGUAUCCUCGUUCUUGGAAACUAUAGAAAAGACUGACUCGAUCGAUCGUGAAAUGGCCGACUGUAAAUGCGUGCUCGCGGCCAAGAGGUUUCUCAAGAAUCUGAUAUCGCGUGAAGACGGAUCAACACGUACGAGACCCCCAGGGAACACGUGGACGGAUUUUCAUUGAAAAAUCGGCAAGAUCUCUGCCUCGAAGCGGCAUUCCGUCUUGAGCCCCGUGGAGACGUAUAUACCACUGCGUGGUCCAGUGUGCAUCGCAAGAUCUCGGUCGAUCGGGGCAACGGUUCGAAGCGUAGUUACCGCGAUCGAUGGUGCAAAACGCGCUUCGCGAUGGACAACGUAUCUCGGAGACAAGGUCAGAGGUGUGCCUCCGAAGAAGUAUUUUCUGAUUCCUGAUCGAGAGAAGAAGACCGAUUGUGAGAUUCGUUCGAU